AUAAUAUGUCUCCUUCUCUCAUUCACAGUACAACAAGCGAAAAAAGUAACAGAUAUACUGCAAGUAGGCGGUGGCGCGGCAGAGAUGAUGUUGAGGCACAAGCUGUGUGAAUUGAACGAACAGAAUGUUUACAAUCCACACAUAACCCAACUUUUUGCCUGUUUUCAAGCCAUCAGAACGAACUGACAGCGAGUCUCAAUGUGUGCGUGCCAUCGUGUUCAUUUGCGCUUGUGUGCGUGCAAUCUGGACCCCCCGUUUAGCUGAAAUCGGUUGAGUGUCAUUAGAAAAAUGAAAAAAAAACUGCUCGAUUUUUUACUUGGAUCGAGUAGUUUCGUCACCUAUCAAAUUGGCUUGUCAGUCUAGGGUUGUUUACAAGUCACGAAGCCAGUUACCAACCGAAAAAAGUGUUGCAUAACAAAAAGUAUUGGAAAAGCAUGCUUAAUUCUUUAUUUUUCACUGGUGAAAGUGAUGAUGCUGAUAAAAAUCUUGCACAACAUCGUAGGGAGCUGCAAAAACAGCUAGAUCCGCUUGAAUUAUCCGAUAAAGCAACUUUGAUCUUAAUACUGGAAAUCUAGAAAAGAAACUAGAUUUUAUGCAAAAUUUUCGACUCCCGAAGAGCCUGUUCGAGGAAAUUCUUGCAAAAAUAGCCCCAUUCAUUACUCCAAAACAUAACCGUGGUUUAUCUGCAGAACAAAAACUGGCUACUGUGUUAAGGUUGUUUGCACAAGGAGCUUACCAACAGGGUGUUGGUUACGAUUUUACCAUGACAAUUGGCCAAUCUACUUUUUCAGAAAAGUUAGAUCAAACCUUAGCAGUUCUGGAGGGUGAACUAACAUACGCAAUUACCAUGGAUCUAACAGAAGACGAGAGAGCAGAUGCCAGAAGAUACUUUUACUCGAAAUUACCUGUUCCUGGUGUAGUAAUGUGCAUCGAUGGAACCCAUAUAAGAAUCGUUGCGCCUCACGACAACUAAAUCCAUUAUUUCAAUAGAAAGGGAUUUUAUAGUCUUAACGCUUUGAUGAUAUGUGACCACAGGCAAAUCACGAUUCUUACAUUUAUAAUUCCAGUCCGAUUUCUUCAUAUUUUGAAGAAAAAUGGAGAAAUGGAGACCGAA